UACGAAGGGGGCUAGCGUUGCUCGGAAUCACUGGGCGUAAAGCGCACGUAGGCGGAUCUUUAAGUCAGGGGUGAAAUCCUGGAGCUCAACUCCAGAACUGCCUUUGAUACUGGGGAUCUCGAGUCCGGAAGAGGUGAGUGGAACUCCGAGUGUAGAGGUGAAAUUCGUAGAUAUUCGCAAGAACACCAGUGGCGAAGGCGGCUCACUGGCUCGGUACUGACGCUGAGGUGCGAAAGCGUGGGGAGCGAACAGG
rnacentral:rRNA from 1 species